GUCUCCCACCUGAUCGUUUACACAUUGCCAAAAAAGAAUUCCAACAAAUGCUUGAUCUUGGAAUCAUCCGCCCUUCCAGCAGUCAGUAUGCCUCUCCUCUCCACAUGGUUCCCAAGCCACAACCCGGUGACUCUAUGUAUAACCUGACGUUUACUCCUCGUUUGACUCUGAAGAUGACUACCGCUAAGGUUGUCGAAACGUCAGUCAACAACAACAAAAACAGUCCUUCUCAGGACUUUAUUAACCUGAAAAGUACCUUGAUGGUAAGGAGUGUAUGGAGGAGUGAGAGGAUUUAGAAAAGCAGCAGCAUGAUUGUGGAAGAGUUUGGUAGGAGUUGUGAGAUUGGGUGGUGAAUAUACAUACGAUUUAGAUGUUGAUGUAUAGCCAAAGUCAGGAGUAUGGAAAGGUAAGUUAGUAGAUGGAGUUUUAACUUGUUCAGGUUGGUUAGUAGCAUCAGAGAGUAGUUUCUAUUCAAACUUGAAAGACAGUUUCUCUUCAGCAAAGGAGGAGGACCAGGUAAGUUGUACAAGGUUGUAGGCUGAUAGCAUGUUAAGUAGAGAUUUAGGGAAUUCAUGAGAACUGUUAUUGUUCUUUUCAACAUACCAUUCUAUUUUAAGUUUGAUCGAUUUAGUGUUUAUAUUGAUGUCCCAGGAUGGAGAAGAACCAAUACCAAGAUUUCCAAUUAAUGAGGAAGCUUGAAAAAGAGAAAACAGUAAUGUAAAUGAAGAACAAAGAGAGGAAGAGCAAACGAUUGACUUGCAAAGUUGUGGGAAAAUGAUGGAGAUGAUCCAAAGCAGGAUCAGUCAUACCGAAGCAUAUCCGCAUUUUCAAUCAAUUCUUCAACAUUUGCUUCAUUUUCCAAGUAUUUAGUCGAAUUCAUGUGGAUCUUUUCGUAGUGGUGUAGGGCGAAAAUAGAGAAAUUAGAAAAAUUUGUGGACUGGCGGAUUUAGUUAUGCAACAAAUGUCAGUUCAAAGCGAAGAUGAAGAAGAAUUGGAAGAAUUGCGACAGAGGCUUGGGAAGCUUAACAUACAUCAUAGAUAGUAGGAAAGACCAGAACUGUCAAAUUUUGUUAUCAAACUAAAUACUUCUAACAAACAGUUAGCGCGAGCUGUUCUCACCAUAGAUAAAGAUGGCGAAUUAUCUGUAGAAAUGCUCGAACAGGUAAAAUUUCACUUUGACUUCUUGCAUGGGAGUUAAAAUUUUUACUAACGAAUCUAUCUUCAUCCUUUUUGUUUAGCUCUUCAAGCUCGUACACACUACCCAA